rfam:Cephalotus follicularis DNA, scaffold: scaffold191, isolate: St1.
GGGAGCCGUAUGAGGUGAAAAUAUUAUGUACGGUUCUCUUCUAUUGAGUGGCAUUAGUGUUGUCAUUCUUCAAAAGUUCAUCUACUUGAU